rnacentral:rRNA from 1 species
GAUGAACGCUGACAGAAUGCUUAACACAUGCAAGUCUUUGGCGAAGCUGUGCUUGCACAGCCUAGCCAAGGCGGACGGGUGAGUAACGCGUAAGGAACUUGCCCUGCAGUCAGGGAUAACAGACGGAAACGACUGAUAAGACCUGGUAAAGUCAGGCGGACUCAUGUCCAGCCUGAUGAAAAGAGAUGCUGCAGGAGAGCCUUGCGUCCUAUUAGCUUGUUGGUGGGGUAACGGCCCACCAAGGCGAUGAUAGGUAGCCGGCCUGAGAGGGUGGACGGCCACAAGGGGACGGAGAUACGGCCCUUACUCCCACGGGAGGCAGCAGUGGGGAAGAUUGGACAAUGGGGGCAACCCUGAUCCAGCAAUUCUGUGUGCACGAUGAAGGUUUUCGGAUUGUAAAGUGCUUUCAGCAGGGAAGAAAAAAUGACGGUACCUGCAGAAGAAGCGACGGCUAAAUACGUG